CAGUAGCCGCGGGAAUACGUAGGUGGCAAGCGUUGUCCGGAAUUAUUGGGCGUAAAGGGCUCGCAGGCGGUUUCUUAAGUCUGAUGUGAAAGCCCCCGGCUCAACCGGGGAGGGUCAUUGGAAACUGGGAGACUUGAGUGCAGAAGAGGAGAGUGGAAUUCCACGUGUAGCGGUGAAAUGCGUAGAGAUGUGGAGGAACACCAGUGGCGAAGGCGACUCUCUGGUCUGUAACUGACGCUGAGGAACGAAAGCGUGGGGAGCGAACAGGAUUAGAUACCCCGGUAGUCCCUGUCUCUUAUAA
rnacentral:rRNA from 1 species